rnacentral:rRNA from 1 species
GACAGAGGAUGCAAGCGUUAUCCGGAAUGAUUGGGCGUAAAGCGUCUGUAGGUGGCUUUUCAAGUCCGCCGUCAAAUCCCAGGGCUCAACCCCUGGACAGGCGGUGGAAACUACCAAGCUGGAGUACGGUAGGGGCAGGAGGGAAUUUCCCGGUGGAGGCCGGUGAAAAUGCAUUGAGAUCGGAAAGAACAACCCAACGGCCGAAAGCC